rnacentral:rRNA from 1 species
AGCGUACACGGUGGAUGCCCUGGCAGUCAGAGGCGAUGAAGGACGUGCUAAUCUGCGAUAAGCGUCGGUAAGGUGAUAUGAACCGUUAUAACCGGCGAUUUCCGAAUGGGGAAACCCAGUGUGAUUCGUCACACUAUCAUUAACUGAAUCCAUAGGUUAAUGAGGCGAACCGGGGGAACUGAAACAUCUAAGUACCCCGAGGAAAAGAAAUCAACCGAGAUUCCCCCAGUAGCGGCGAGCGAACGGGGAGCAGCCCAGAGCCUGAAUCAGUGUGUGUGUUAGUGGAAGCGUCUGGAAAGGCGUGCGAUACAGGGUGACAGCCCCGUACACAAAAAUGCACAUGCUGUGAGCUCGAUGAGUAGGGCGGGACACGUGGUAUCCUGUCUGAAUAUGGGGGGACCAUCCUCCAAGGCUAAAUACUCCUGACUGACCGAUAGUGAACCAGUACCGUGAGGGAAAGGCGAAAAGAACCCCGGCGAGGGGAGUGAAAAAGAACCUGAAACCGUGUACGUACAAGCAGUGGGAGCACGCUUAGGCGUGUGACUGCGUACCUUUUGUAUAAUGGGUCAGCGACUUAUAUUCUGUAGCAAGGUUAACCGAAUAGGGGAGCCGAAGGGAAACCGAGUCUUAACUGGGCGUUAAGUUGCAGGGUAUAGACCCGAAACCCGGUGAUCUAGCCAUGGGCAGGUUGAAGGUUGGGUAACACUAACUGGAGGACCGAACCGACUAAUGUUGAAAAAUUAGCGGAUGACUUGUGGCUGGGGGUGAAAGGCCAAUCAAACCGGGAGAUAGCUGGUUCUCCCCGAAAGCUAUUUAGGUAGCGCCUCGUGAAUUCAUCUCCGGGGGUAGAGCACUGUUUCGGCAAGGGGGUCAUCCCGACUUACCAACCCGAUGCAAACUGCGAAUACCGGAGAAUGUUAUCACGGGAGACACACGGCGGGUGCUAACGUCCGUCGUGAAGAGGGAAACAACCCAGACCGCCAGCUAAGGUCCCAAAGUCAUGGUUAAGUGGGAAACGAUGUGGGAAGGCCCAGACAGCCAGGAUGUUGGCUUAGAAGCAGCCAUCAUUUAAAGAAAGCGUAAUAGCUCACUGGUCGAGUCGGCCUGCGCGGAAGAUGUAACGGGGCUAAACCAUGCACCGAAGCUGCGGCAGCGACGCUUAUGCGUUGUUGGGUAGGGGAGCGUUCUGUAAGCCUGUGAAGGUGUACUGUGAGGUAUGCUGGAGGUAUCAGAAGUGCGAAUGCUGACAUAAGUAACGAUAAAGCGGGUGAAAAGCCCGCUCGCCGGAAGACCAAGGGUUCCUGUCCAACGUUAAUCGGGGCAGGGUGAGUCGACCCCUAAGGCGAGGCCGAAAGGCGUAGUCGAUGGGAAACAGGUUAAUAUUCCUGUACUUGGUGUUACUGCGAAGGGGGGACGGAGAAGGCUAUGUUGGCCGGGCGACGGUUGUCCCGGUUUAAGCGUGUAGGCUGGUUUUCCAGGCAAAUCCGGAAAAUCAAGGCUGAGGCGUGAUGACGAGGCACUACGGUGCUGAAGCAACAAAUGCCCUGCUUCCAGGAAAAGCCUCUAAGCAUCAGGUAACAUCAAAUCGUACCCCAAACCGACACAGGUGGUCAGGUAGAGAAUACCAAGGCGCUUGAGAGAACUCGGGUGAAGGAACUAGGCAAAAUGGUGCCGUAACUUCGGGAGAAGGCACGCUGAUAUGUAGGUGAAGUCCCUCGCGGAUGGAGCUGAAAUCAGUCGAAGAUACCAGCUGGCUGCAACUGUUUAUUAAAAACACAGCACUGUGCAAACACGAAAGUGGACGUAUACGGUGUGACGCCUGCCCGGUGCCGGAAGGUUAAUUGAUGGGGUUAGCGCAAGCGAAGCUCUUGAUCGAAGCCCCGGUAAACGGCGGCCGUAACUAUAACGGUCCUAAGGUAGCGAAAUUCCUUGUCGGGUAAGUUCCGACCUGCACGAAUGGCGUAAUGAUGGCCAGGCUGUCUCCACCCGAGACUCAGUGAAAUUGAACUCGCUGUGAAGAUGCAGUGUACCCGCGGCAAGACGGAAAGACCCCGUGAACCUUUACUAUAGCUUGACACUGAACAUUGAGCCUUGAUGUGUAGGAUAGGUGGGAGGCUUUGAAGUGUGGACGCCAGUCUGCAUGGAGCCGACCUUGAAAUACCACCCUUUAAUGUUUGAUGUUCUAACGUUGACCCGUAAUCCGGGUUGCGGACAGUGUCUGGUGGGUAGUUUGACUGGGGCGGUCUCCUCCUAAAGAGUAACGGAGGAGCACGAAGGUUGGCUAAUCCUGGUCGGACAUCAGGAGGUUAGUGCAAUGGCAUAAGCCAGCUUGACUGCGAGCGUGACGGCGCGAGCAGGUGCGAAAGCAGGUCAUAGUGAUCCGGUGGUUCUGAAUGGAAGGGCCAUCGCUCAACGGAUAAAAGGUACUCCGGGGAUAACAGGCUGAUACCGCCCAAGAGUUCAUAUCGACGGCGGUGUUUGGCACCUCGAUGUCGGCUCAUCACAUCCUGGGGCUGAAGUAGGUCCCAAGGGUAUGGCUGUUCGCCAUUUAAAGUGGUACGCGAGCUGGGUUUAGAACGUCGUGAGACAGUUCGGUCCCUAUCUGCCGUGGGCGCUGGAGAACUGAGGGGGGCUGCUCCUAGUACGAGAGGACCGGAGUGGACGCAUCACUGGUGUUCGGGUUGUCAUGCCAAUGGCACUGCCCGGUAGCUAAAUGCGGAAGAGAUAAGUGCUGAAAGCAUCUAAGCACGAAACUUGCCCCGAGAUGAGUUCUCCCUGACUCCUUGA